rnacentral:lncRNA from 1 species
CUCCUCCCAGAUCUAUUUGCAGCAAUCGUCUAUCUGGGGCAAAGGAGUACCCUGGAAAAUUAACAGCUAGGAGUAUGGUGCUGCUAGAGCGAUUCCUGCAGCCUCUCCUCAAUUCCUGCAGUCAUACAUUUUCCUCAGUGCAUCUCAGAACCCAGUAAAAAAGCACAUUGUGUGCAGAGCAGGCCUUAGCGGACACAGGCGUGCCUGUCAUGAGACAGAGGAAGACUGGGAUGGCACAAAACUGCUGAAAGAACCUGUCUGGUCCUAAAUCUGCUCCCCACUUGAUUCUGGAAGGAGGGUCACCAGCAGCAGGUCCAGGGCUGAAUGAACAGUCCUGACGUACUGCAAAUAUCUGCAUUAGCUGGUCCUGUUUAUUAACUGCCACCAGCUGAUACAAAGAUGUUUCUGAUGUUUUAGAACUCCAAGGCUCAGCCUCACUUUUGGAUGUUCCAGGCUCUGGUAUCUGCACUGCACCCACAGACGUCCAGAUGUGUGCCUAAGUCCUGCCAAGAAUUUUUAAAAAGAGACCAAAACUCAAAAGAGAUCACAGAGGACUGGCUGCAGAUGAAGAAGAUAUUUGUGGACAGUACGGAGAAGAGGAUAUAAGGUGCAACAAAACUAUCCCUUAGGAUCUCUUAUAAUGCUAUUUUUUUUGUUUCCAGUUCAUUGCAUCAUUAAGCAUGUGAAUUUUCUUCCUUAAAAUGUUAUGUUAUUUGGAGAGAAACAAGCAAAGCAAGGCUGCUUCAGUCUGCAAAACUAAACUGCAGUAUGCAUCCAAAGGCUUCUAUAGGGCGAAGAGCAUCAAUAUUAAUACAGUUAUAUCACAAAGAUACAGAAACUAUUUUUCUUAAAUCGACUCACAUAUAAUUUGCCAAAUACAAAAAUCAUUACAGUUAAUUUGCCAUGGAUAAAUGCCAUCUUUAUUUUCUUACUGAAACAAAGAUUCCUGCAGCCUUUGAGAACGCUCGCACCAAGGGGUCAUAAACCAGACACACCUCCCACUGCACUGAGUGUGUCAGCACAUUUCAGCACACGGGCUGACACGACCACGUCUGCAGCAAAAGAAACGUCCUGUCUCUAGAUGUGCCAUCAACCUGUUUGUGGCAUCCUGACUCCCACUGAAUUUCUCUGUACUUCUACUUUUCUGUAAUUAAAAUAAGGAGUAAGACCACCAACCUCUGCUAAGUACAUUGAGAUCCACUAGUUAUGAUGCAGUGGGUGUGUUUUGACAUUGGUUUUUUCCAGUGGUUCUUGGAGAAUGACAUAGCAAAGUUUUACCAAGUUCCUGAGUCCAGGAAUACUCUUACAGAAUUCAGUAUUAACCACAGAUGAGUCCCUUUAGUGAAGCUGGCCUGACUCCUGGCUCAGAAACAGGGUGAAUAAUGCAUGGGGAAGAUAACUGAAACUUGAUAUGAAACUUUCCCUUUGCUCAGAACUAAAGUCUGAUGGAGAUCUUGGCAUGAAAAAUAGGCUUUAAUUUGUGAAUUACCUCCUCUGAUAACAUAU